rnacentral:rRNA from 1 species
CAGUAGCCGCGGUAAUACGAAGGGGGCUAGCGUUGCUCGGAAUUACUGGGCGUAAAGGGAGCGUAGGCGGAUAGUUUAGUCAGAGGUGAAAGCCCAGGGCUCAACCUUGGAAUUGCCUUUGAUACUGGCUAUCUUGAGUAUGGGAGAGGUGAGUGGAACUCCGAGUGUAGAGGUGAAAUUCGUAGAUAUUCGGAAGAACACCAGUGGCGAAGGCGACUCACUGGCCCAUUACUGACGCUGAGGCUCGAAAGCGUGGGGAGCAAACAGGAUUAGAUACCCCCGUAGUCCCUGUCUCUUAUAU